AUUGAACGCUGGCGGCGUGCUUAACACAUGCAAGUCGAACGAAGUGGCGAACGGGUGAGUAACGCGUAAUCAACCUGCCCUUCAGAGGGGGACAACAGUGGGAAACGACUGCUAAUACCGCAUACGGAAGGAGGGGAUUGCGUCGGAUUCGCUAGUUGGAGGGGUAACGGCCCACCAAGGCGAUGAUCAGUAGCCGGGCUGAGAGGAUGAACGGGCAACACUGGACUGGGACACGGCCCAGACCUCUGCGGUGGGGAGCAGGGGGGAAUCUUUCGCAAUGGACGAAAGUCUGACGGCGCCAAGCCGCGUGAGUGAUGACGGCCUUCGGGUUGUAAAGCUCUGUUAAUCGGGACGCGGUACCGGAAGAGAAAGCCACGGCUAACUCCGUGCCAGCAGCCGCGGUAAUUC
rnacentral:rRNA from 1 species